rnacentral:lncRNA from 1 species
AACUAUUUCUAUCAUCCAUAUUACACAUCUAUCAUCACCUCUUCGCUGAACUAGUGCACCUAUGCAACUGACAAUUGUAUUGGGUGUGUUGGGGACACAAGAGACUCUUUGUAUUUGAUUGCAUGAUUGUUUCAGAAAGAACCAUAUUCGUCCAACACCUCCCACGGACUGAUAAAGCUCAGGUCAUCCCCCUGUGGGAAUUUUGUUGAUGUCCUACAAAACUCUGCGCUUGGAGGCCCAACCAAGUCUACAAGAAUAAAGUUGCGUACUAGACAUCAAGCUAUUUCUGACGUCGUUGCCGAGGAGGUCACUGCUUAAAGGUAUCUCUCUCUCUCUCUCUCUCGCGUGUUCUUGAUUUGACACAAUAUUGAUGUAUCAUGAGCUUUAUCAAUAUAGUUGGAUCUUAUGAUGUUCACCUCCCUCUCUUUUUUUGUGGUGAAUUGAGUCUUUCUCUUUGAGGUUUCUUUAUGUUGGAUUGAACAAUUUGGAGUUGAGAUCUGUUGCAUGUCUUAACUUGUGGAUACCUGUGGUGACAUUGGGGUGUUUUAGCUGACAUGAAGGUUAAUAAAUGAUACGUAUAUAUGGUGUUGUCAUAGUACAAUCUCUAGAACUAUUAGUGACACUUUGGGGGUGGUUCAAUAGAUUGAUUGGAAACACAACUUUGAGGUGUUUACUACCUAUGCAAUUUCAUCCUCCUUUCUCCGAUAGGAACAGGGACUUUGGAGUGAUUCUUUGCCGCACUUUGAGGUAUUAUCAUGUGAUUCAAUUCUGUUAAUGACGUUGACAGAUUGCACUAGCGAAAGUAUGAACCCCGGUGCUUAUAUCUAAACAUUGAGAUACCGUUUUGCUCGCUUUUUGUUAGUUGGUACCUUGUUGUUUUUAUUUUUUUAGAUUAUAUAAACUAUUUCUAUCAUCCAUAUUACACAUCUAGCAUCACCUCUUCGCUGAACUAGUGCACCUAUACAACUCACAAUUGUAUUGGGUGUGUUGGGGACACAAGAGACUCUUUGUAUUUGAUUGCAUGAUUGUUUUAGAAAGAACCAUAUUCAUCCAACACCUCCCACGGAUUGAUAAACCUUAGGUCAUCCACCUGUGGGAAAUUUAUUGAUGUCCUACAAAACUUUGCACUUGGAGGCCCAACCAAGUCUACAAGAACAAAGUUGCAUACUAGACAUCAAGCUAUUUCUGACGUCGUUGCCGGGGAGGUCAGUGCUUGAAGGUAUCUCUCUCUCUCUCUCUCUCUCUCUCUCUCUCUCUCGUGUUCUUGAUUUGACACAAUAUUGAUGUAUCAUGAGCUUUAUCAAUAUAGUUGGAUCUUAAGAUGUUCACCUCCCUCUCUUUUUUUCGUGGUGAAUUGAGUCUUUCUCUUUGAGGUUUCUUUAUGUUGGAUUGAACAAUUUGGAGUUCAGAUCUGUUGCAUGUCUUAACUUGUGGAUACCUGUGGUGACAUUGGGGUGUUUUAGCUGACAUAAAGGUUAAUAAAUGAUACGUAUAUAUGGUGUUGUCAUAGUACAAUCUCUAGAACUAUUAGUGACACUUUGGGGGUGGUUCAAUAGAUUGAUUGGAAACACAACUUUGAGGUGGUUUACUACCUAUGAAAUUUCAUCCUCCUUUCUCCGAUAGGAACAGGGACUUUGGAGUGAUUCUUCACCACACUUUGAGGUAUUAUCAUGUGAUUCAAUUAUGUUAAUAAUGUUGAGAGAUUGCACUAGCGAAAGUAUGAACCCCGGGGCUUAUUUCUAAGCAUUGAGAUACCGUUUUGCUCGCUUUUUGUUAGUUGGUACCUUGCUGUUUUUAUUUUUUUUAGAUUAUAUAAACUAUUUCUAUCAUCCAUAUUACACAUCUAUCAUCACCUCUUCGCUGAACUAGUGCACCUAUACAACUGACAAUUGUAUUGGGUGUGUUGGGGACACAAGAGACUCUUUGUAUUUGAUUGCAUGAUUGUUUUAGAAAGAACCAUAUUCGUCCAACACCUCCCACAGAUUGAUAAACCUUAGGUCAUCAACCUAUGAGAAAUUUGUUGAUGUCCUACAAAACUCUGCGCUUGGAGGCCCAACCAAGUCUACAAGAAUAAAGUUGCGUACUAUACAUCAAGCUAUUUCUAACAUCGUUGCCGGGGAGGUCAGUGCUUGAAGGUACCUUCUUUAGAUCUUGAAAUUGAAUCUUUUAGUUUCUUGUUUAUACACUAGUUUGGUUUAUAAAAAGAAAACUACAAAAAAUGGAAGUGAGGUUGCAUCAAAUUAUUUAUCUUUAUGAAGUCUUUCUUGAAAAUAUGGAUUCCAAUAAUUGCUAUGAAGUGG